CUCUGUUAAAAAAAUCAACAAACUAAAUACACUGAAGUCAAUAUGUCGAAAGUUUUUGCUGAUAAAUAAACUGAUAUUAAAAUUAAGAUAAAUGAUAAAUGAAGGCCAUUGGAUAACGAAUUGAGUAAAAAUAUGAUAAAUACGAGACAGAGGUACUGCACUUAACCAUUAACGUUACUGAAGCUGGAUAUGGAAGUGAAUAUGUGAUUUUAAAAAUAUGGCGUUUUAUUGCAUUUGGAAUAUUCUACUAUUAUUGAGGUUGCUUUCAAUUCCACAAUAUGAAGCAUUUGCCAAUUCCAGUAAUGAUGUGAAAACUUUGGAAAAUACCACCCAAGCAUUUGCCAAUUCCAGUACUGAUGUAAACACAGUGGAAUAUACAACCACAGGUUAA